rnacentral:rRNA from 1 species
UACGUAGGGGGCUAGCGUUGUCCGGAAUCAUUGGGCGUAAAGCGCGUGUAGGCGGCCCGGUAAGUCCGCUGUGAAAGUCGGGGGCUCAACCCUCGGAUGCCGGUGGAUACUGUCGGGCUUGAGUACGGAAGAGGCGAGUGGAAUUCCUGGUGUAGCGGUGAGAUGCGCAGAUAUCAGGAGGAACACCAAUUGCGAAGGCAGCUCGCUGGGACGUUACUGACGCUGAGACGCGAAAGCGUGGGGAGCAAACAAG